AAAAGUUCCAGCGAUUAAUGCUCUCCUAUAUCUCUGUCCGUGACUCUGUUGGAACCCUCACCCACCCCAGAUCCUCUCUUCUCUCCUUCAGCUCUUUUCACUCCGACGACUCCCCUCCUCCCUCUCUUAACGCCGACAAUGACGCCGACGCCGACAUCCCGUCAAAUACCCUCCCUCCUCCCUCUCUUGACGCCGCCGCCGACCCUCCUCCCUCUCUCGACGCCGACGCCGACGUCGACGCCUCCUCUCGAAGACCCUCAUCCUCCCUCUCUCGACGCCGACGCCGACGCCCCGUCGAAGACGCUUCCUCCUCUCUCUCUCGACGCCGACGCAGGAUAUCGGUAUCAUCAGAGAGAGACUAGAAGGGCUUCAAGAUGGAUUUGAGGCCAAAGCAAUUGUAGUAGUGACAGAGAAGGAUUAUGAUCAAGACCCAUAUGCCUCCUACAAAGUGUUUGCAACGUACGAAGAGGCUUUGAUUGAAUGGGAGAAGCACACCAUCGAUCGUGAUUCAGCAUCCAGCUCAAGGCUUGUUCAGGCACCACUUCAAUUUCAACAACAAAUAUUUCCGGAGCGGCAUAAUCUAGAUGAGGACGAGGAAAAAUUUAGGGAAACUGUUAUUUCCUCCAUCUAUGUUUUUGCAGUAGGUUCAAUGUUUAUAAUAUUUGUGUUUGUAGUUUGUAUCGUUGCAGUAUUUGUUGGCUUCUCUAUUGCAAAAAAAAUAUGUGAUGUGAUUUGUAAGAUAUUUGAUGGAUCUUGGAUGUUUCUCAACUAGGUUUGUAAGUAAUUACAAUAUUAUGUGAUGUAAUUUAUUAUGGUA